ensembl:lncRNA
GGAAAGGAUUUUUGUCAGAAGCCUGGGCCACGUCUUCAUUCUGGGCUGCCAGUUCAACCUACUUAUGAUGUUUAGGGCUUUGCUAAAUCUCCUGCGGCAUCAGCUCCCCAGAGGAAGCUGAAGAAACCACCCUGUGAUGGCAUCUCCAAGGGCGAGGGCACGUUAUCCCCAGACUCUAAUGAACCGAGCAGCCCUGUCACUGCCAGACCCACAUCACGCAGUGACCGUGAGGGCUGCUGACUCUGCACUAUGGCUUCCUGGUGCUGACGUGCCUUCUUCUGGCAGAAGGAAGAUCAAUUCCAAGAAAACACUUAAAGCCUGUGGAAGUUACCCAUUAACAAAUGCUAAGUGGCCAGUCGCUGACGGAGGGGGCCUUUGACUAAGACCGAGAAGCGACAGCUCUGCUGGGAGCCCUGAAACAAGGCUUUUAACCAUAUGUGCCCAUGGUUUAUAGUUUCUGUCUGAUGAUGAGCAGGAAAGAGGGGAAUGGCCCCCAUGUCCACCAUGCGGAGCAGAAGACAAGUGGCAACGGCAGCAAGCAGAGGACCGCAGAGAAGCGUGCAGCCUGAGCCGCAAGGUUUGCGGGCUGUCACGAUACCGAAGGAGGAGGAGCAGGAACGCAAAGCACCCACAAACAGCCCUUGACAUGUAGCAAAUGUGCACUCCCCCAC